UCAGGAUUCAAAGUGUUUAUUGUCAUUUGCACAAGAGAAACAUGUGGGCGUUUACAUAACUGCUACGACGUCCAAUAAUUUUUUGAAAGUUUGCAGAGAUUCUUAGAGUCUUUCACUUCUCCACCUUUGGAAAGUCUCGGAAAACGACCAAAACAGCCACAUUUAUAGUAAAGGCCAUUGACCAGCUUAUGCACUCCGCUGAGUAUGCCCAGAGUGAGGAAUUUUGGGCAGCGGCGUGCAUGCACCUGGGAAUUCCACUAUCCAGAGGAAAUAAAACGCGACUGAAGCAUGCAUACGAAAUGCAUAAAAAGCCCCAGAUGACCAAACCUGAGGUGAUGACCACACCUGAGGUGACCACCUCCGGCCACACCAGCCCCUCUGAUGGCUCUGCAGGGUCUCCUGCACCC
ensembl:lncRNA